AAAUCUCAAGAAGUAGCUACCCACAUGAGCAAUAGAGGAUGAGGUAAAUAAAACCAAAACAAUCUACUUGAAGGUUGAAGCACAUCCUUAACACCUAGACAGAUGUAAAGAACUUGGGAACCUCCCAGCCACCAGGUGAGUCUGCUGGGCUAUGGAUCUCUAGAGCAGCACAUCAAAAAACCUGCCACCCUGUUGUCAGCUAUCAGCAGAAAGUUUCCUGAGGAAGGAUGCAACUAUCAACGCUUUAAAUGGUCACAUUUGGGGGAUGACCAC